rnacentral:rRNA from 1 species
AGUGAACGCUGGCGGCGUGCCUAAUACAUGCAAGUCGAACGGAGUGGCGCACGGGGGAGUAAUGUAUAGCUAAUCUGCCCUACACUAGAGGACAACCGUUGGAAACGACUGCUAAUACUCUAUAGUGUAGGAUGAGGCGAUAUUGUAUCAGCUAGUUGGUGAUGUAAUGGUGCACCAAGGCUAUGACGCAUAACUGGUCUGAGAGGAUGAUCAGUAACACUGUAAAUGAGACACGGUCCAGACUCCUACGGGAGGAAGCAGGAGGGAACAUUGCUCAAAGGGGGAAACCCUGAAGCAGCAACGCAGCGGGGAGGAUGACACUUUGCGGAGCGUAAACUCAUGUUGUGAGGGAAGCGGUACCUAACGAAUAAGCACCGGCUAACUCCGGGCCAGCAGCCGCGGUAAUUC